GACCAGCGUGGCGUCGUGGUUUGCGUGUCGGACUACGACUCUGGAGACCUGGGUUCGAAUCCCGACUCGGCCA